GCCGUGGACCGGGCCCCUCUGACGGCGUUGCGCCGUGAUGUCGGACCACUUCG
rfam:Haematobacter massiliensis strain CCTG 47968 contig5_scaffold4, whole genome shotgun sequence.